rnacentral:rRNA from 1 species
UGGUAAUGAUGGCAGAGAGGUCACACCCGUUCCCAUACCGAACACGGAAGUUAAGCUCUCUAGCGCCGAUGGUAGUUGGGGCCUUGUCCCUGUGAGAGUAGGACGUUGCCAGGCA